GACGAACGCUGGCGGCGUGCUUAACACAUGCAAGUCGAACGGAAAGGCCCUGCUUUUGUGGGGUGCUCGAGUGGCGAACGGGUGAGUAACACGUGAGUAACCUGCCCUUGUCUUUGGGAUAACUUCAGGAAACUGGGGCUAAUACCGGAUAGGAGCUACUGAUGCAUGGUGGGGGUUGGAAAGUUUCGGCGGUUGGGGCUGGACUCGCGGCUUAUCAGCUUGUUGGUGGGGUAGUGGCUUACCAAGGCUUUGACGGGUAGCCGGCCUGAGAGGGUGACCGGCCACAUUGGGACUGAGAUACGGCCCAGACGCCUACGGGAGGCAGCAGUGGGGAAUAUUGCACAAUGGGCGGAAGCCUGAGGCAACAACGCCGCGUGCGGGAUGACGGCCUUCGGGUUGUAAACCGCUGUCGCCUGUGACGAGGCGUGAGUGACGGUAAUGGGUAAAAAAGCACCGGCUAACUACGUG
rnacentral:rRNA from 1 species